rnacentral:lncRNA from 1 species
UCUGAGCCUGAUGGAUUUACAGUGAUCUUCAGUGGUUUGGGGAAUAACGCUGGUGGAACCAUGCACUGGAAUGACACACGUCCGGCACAUUUCAGGAUACUAAAAGUGGUUUUAAAGGAGGCCCUGGCUGAAUGCCUCAUGGAUUCUUACAGCUUGGAUGUCCAUGGGGGACGAAGGACCGCAGCUGGCUGUGAGGGUUGAGAUCUCUGUUUACUUAGAUCUCUGCCAACUUCCUUUGGGUCUCCCUAUGGAAUAUAAGACCCCGACUCUUCCUGGUGAAGCAUCUGAUGCACGUUCUAUUCGGCGCUCAGCUGGGCUUGAGAAUCCUGUUACACCUGGGAUUUAGGCACUGUCAAUCUGAAAAAAUACAUAUCCUUUCAGCACUCUGGACGGACUUGAGAACUGUCCUUACGUGACCUAAAGCUGGAGUGUUUUGAGAUUGGAGAAUUAAGAGCGUGGGCACCCUGGCUUCAAGCUCACGAGAAAUCAGAUUGGGAUUUAAACAAUGUUGGGUUAAAGAAAAGUUUCAUAAAGACAGAAUC